rnacentral:lncRNA from 1 species
UGCAGUUUUGAUUUCUUCUUUGUCUCAAGAGUUAUUUAAGAGAGUCUAACAUUUCCAGUGUUUUAAAAAAAUUCUUCUGUUAUGAAUUUCUGGGUUUAUUACAUUGUGGUUAGAGAAUGUGAGAAUGUGGUCUGCAUUGUUUCUACUUUUUGAAAACUAGCAGGAUUUUCCUUGUGGUCUAAUAUAUAAUCAAUUUGUACUAAUGUUCCAUGGCAUUUGAGAGGAAAAUGUAUUUUCUGAAUAUUUCUAAAGUUCAAUGUACAUCUAUUAAACUAAGCAUAUGAAUGUAACAUCCUUUAAUCCUUUCUAUUUCUACAUAUAUCUGUAUAUGUUUGGUCUACUUGAACUGAGACAGCCUGAAGGCAUUAUAUUAAUGACGCCCCCUGUAACUGGUUUUAUCUGUUUAUCCUUGCGUUUCCAACAGUUUUUUGCUCUAUUUCAUCAGUGGAAUCAAGGAAGUGUCUUCCAACAUUUCUUUAGUUGUGUUCUCUAAGAUGCUGCAAAGGACAGGUAUGUUACAAAGCACAGUAUGGCUUAAUUUUACUUAAUCUGGUUUGAUUUAUAUUAUAUUAGACAGAUUUAGACCAUAUUCUAACACUAGUUCGAUCUUGGUUAUCAUUGUUAUGUGCAUUUUCACAUUUUCCUGUAUUUUUGCUUCUUCCUUUAUUUAAUCCUUCAGUAUAUAUCCGUUGAAGACUUCUUCCACAUGUCUCCAUUGCACUCUGAAAUACAUACUCAUUGGACAGCAUUUUAAGUUACGUAUGCCCCUCCCCGGGACAGGAUUAUUCUCUCCCACCUCAAAGAAGUCAGGUUCUGCCAUGUGUCUUGCUUCGGCUAAUGGGAUGUGAUCAGAAUUGACAUAUGCCGUAUCCAAGCACCACAUUGUUCCAUUUUGCUGCCUUUUACUUCUUCGCCAUCUGAAGAUAAGCAGGUUGCCACCCUGGACCACACCUCUAACAGCAUCUCUGCAGUGGCGUGCUGGGUGAGGCAGAGAACAACUCUAGGAGGCAUUGUUGUCUGCAAAGGCAAAGACUUUUGUGGGGACCGUUUGUGGGUUCAACCUUCUCCACACGCUUGUGGUGUCAUACCAAUGGGCUCUGUGUAGCCUCUUCAGGGAUCCCCAGCUGUCUUUACUGCUCACAACUCUAUUAUCUUCUGAAGUCUUGCAGCUUAUAAAAUAGCUAUUUUGGCCAAAGCCGUACAAUAAAGAAUCAUAUUUGACUCUCA